UACGUAGGGUGCGAGCGUUGUCCGGAAUUAUUGGGCGUAAAGGGCUCGUAGGCGGUCUGUCGCGUCGGUAGUGAAAACUCAGGGCUUAACCCUGAGCCUGCUUCCGAUACGGGCAGACUAGAGGUAUGCAGGGGAGAACGGAAUUCCUGGUGUAGCGGUGAAAUGCGCAGAUAUCAGGAGGAACACCGGUGGCGAAGGCGGUUCUCUGGGCAUUACCUGACGCUGAGGAGCGAAAGUGUGGGGAGCGAACAGG
rnacentral:rRNA from 1 species